rnacentral:rRNA from 1 species
CCCUGUCCGCUCCCCCUCCACCCCGCUCUCCGCUCCCUCCAAAACCCCAGCAGAAUGGAGGCAAAGGCGCUCCCCCUCUCGCACUACCGCGCGCGGGCGGGCUCGCCGCUCCUCCUCUCCGCAGACGCCAGCUCCGCCGCGCGCAAGGGCUCCGGCGCGCCAGGCAGGAGCAGGGCCUCGAGGUAUGACGCGGGAGCGCCUCCGAGCAGGGCAGGGAUGAAUGGAGUUCCAAAGCUUAAUCCCAAAUUCUCCACCAGAAGAGCAGGGACAAGUAAGGUUCCAAUUAUUAAUUUCGAGGUUUCUCAUCACAGAGCAGUUGCAGCGGUGAGGUUGCUAAGAGCUGAUAAGGGGAAGGCGUUUGUUGAUCUUUUAAAUGAGAAAGCAAACGAUUCUGGGGAAAAUGAGAUGGGCUAUGUAGAAAGGACGUUAGGAUUCAGCACACGACAUUUGGAUGACAGGGAUAUAAGAUUGGUUACUGUCAUAGUAGCUGGAACUGUACGUUGGAAACGCUACAUUGAUUAUCUUAUCAUGUCACUCUGUAGUGAAGAGAAGGUGUUCAGCAACAUGGAACCGCUGCUGCUGCAGAUAUUGCGAAUUGGCUUCUUUGAAAUUCUCAAACUUAAUGUACCAGCUUAUGCUGUCGUUGAUGAGAAUGUAAGGCUCGCGAAAGUAGCUUUAAGGCCCGGUGCUGGGAACAUGGUGAAUGCGAUUCUGCGUAAACUUCUGUUACUGAAGGAGACAGAUUCUCUUCCUCUUCCAAAGAUAGAAGGUGAUGAUCGUGCCCAAGCUCGUGCUCUUUCCAUAAUUUAUUCUCAUCCUGUUUGGAUGGUGAGAAGGUGGAUUCGAUUUCUUGGAAAAGAAGAAGCUCUAAAAUUGAUGAAUUGGAAUAACAGUGACCCUUAUUUCAGUUUAAGGGUGAACACAACAAAUGGUUAUACAAGGGAUGAUCUUGUUAACCGAUUGGAAGAUUUGCAGGUUCACUAUGAAAAGUCAAUUAUGGACGAAUUUGUCCGCAUUCGUGAGGGCAUGCAGGCAGUCUUACAAGCUGGAUUACUGAAAGAAGGCAUGUGUGCCGUGCAGGAUGAGAGUGCAGGUUUUGUUGUGUCUGUGGUCGAUCCACAACCUGGGGAAACAAUCAUGGAUUGUUGUGCUGCACCUGGCGGGAAGACUUUAUUCAUGGCAUCCCGGCUGGCAGGACAAGGGAAGGUAUCAGCUCUUGACAUAAAUAAAGGCCGCUUGCGAAUUCUCAUGGAGGCAGCAAAGUGCCACAAUCUUGAUGAUAUAAUCACUGAUAUCCAUGGUGAUCUUCGACUAUAUGCUAAGGAAAGCACUGCCAAAUAUGACAAGGUAUUGUUGGAUGCUCCAUGCUCUGGGCUGGGAGUCCUUUCCAAGAGGGCAGACUUGCGUUGGAAUCGACAAUUUGAAGAUCUGGAGGAGUUGGUGUGUUUGCAAGAUGAGCUCCUUGAUUCGGCCUCAUCAUUGGUAAAACCUGGUGGUAUACUAAUAUACAGUACAUGUUCCAUUGACCAUGAAGAAAAUGAGAACCGGGUUACUGCUUUUGUUCAGAGGCAUCCGGAGUUUACCCCACAGGGUGUACAAGGAUUUGUUCCUGCAGAAUUCAUCACAGAUGAUGGUUUCUAUUCCUCAAGUCCAACUAAGCACUCUCUGGAUGGGGCAUUUGCUGCUCGUCUUGUCCGGUCAAUGCACUAGGACUCCCUACAAUUAGUUUCUUAGAAGAAGGUAGUCUUCUGCGCUCUGUGGUCCAUCUUGCUUCUUGGACUGCAUGCAGUAAGUUGUAUAAUAGACAGCAAUGCUGAGGUCAUCCUUAUAGGCAUGCUCCAUCAUUUUGAUGUUGAGUGACACAAUAAUGUGUGUUGUGAGCUAGAUGUACCUGGAGUUGUACCUGCUGGAUACCUAAGCAUGUGUAUUAGGUAGGCCCUAGUGAAAUUAUCUGAUAAAGUAUGUUUGUUAUGUAUUAUUAUGUCUUGCACAGUACCAAGUGAUAGUCUCAAGGUAGAUGAUCAUACAUAAAAGUACGUCUAGAAAUUUAUCAGAUGAAGUGUACUUCAAGAGAACCAUAAUUCUAUAAAUAUAACUUUGUUGGACAUCAAUGCCUCUUGUAGGACCUUACACUAUUGGUACGAGCAGAGCCAACAUCGCAAAGCUAAUAGAAGCUAAUGUAACUGAGAACGGUAUUCUGCCUUUGUCCUUCCUCA